rnacentral:snoRNA from 1 species
UUGGCCCUGAAUCAAGGCCAGCAGUUUGUUGAAGCUGUUGAUUUCAAGCAGAAGCCUGAAGAAAUAUCUGUGGUCUAUUGGCUAUUUCAGAACUUUAGAAGUGUAAUGGUCAAUUCAAUAGAAAGAAACAUCU